AACGAACGCUGGCGGCAGGCCUAACACAUGCAAGUCGAACGGGCGUAGCAAUACGUCAGUGGCAGACGGGUGAGUAACGCGUGGGAACGUGCCCCAAGGUACGGAACAACUUCGGGAAACUGGAGCUAAUACCGUAUGUGCCCGAAAGGGGAAAGAUUUAUCGCCUUGGGAUCGGCCCGCGUCGGAUUAGCUAGUUGGUAGGGUAACGGCCUACCAAGGCGACGAUCCGUAGCUGGUCUGAGAGGAUGGCCAGCCACACUGGGACUGAGACACGGCCCAGACUCCUACGGGAGGCAGCAGUGGGGAAUAUUGGACAAUGGGCGAAAGCCUGAUCCAGCCAUGCCGCGUGAGUGAUGAAGGCCUUAGGGUUGUAAAGCUCUUUCGCCAGGGACGAUAAUGACGGUACCUGGAUAAGAAGCCCCGGCUAACUUCGUGCCAGCCGCCGCAGUAACAC
rnacentral:rRNA from 1 species